AAACCGUUAGGAGGGAAGCGAAUGCAGCUAAAGUAGCUCUCUUUCAGGCUCAGGAGGCGUUGCCACGACCUUCCGGCUGGCGGAAGCUGUUUAGGCGCCGGCAGUUAGACGGUCGAGUGACCACUUCGCAUUCCUGGGGAGAGCUUGCCAACAACGGUUACGCCUGGCUCAUGAGGGCAGGUGGGCAAGGUAGCUCUUCGAUUUCGGGGAGAACUUACAGCCAUCUGUCUGGCAGUCUGGGCUUGACCGAGGUGACGUGUGAACUCUCACACAGGCAGUGCAGGCCCCUCGGGGCCGGGUCGCCUCUGCUCGUUUGGGCACCGCGCUGUUGACUGCAUGCAGUGUUCAGUGACGGACUGUCUGCUCGGGCGGGGGAUCGGCCACGCCAUGCACUGUGGUUGUUGGUACCCAAAUGGCUGCAUCCGACCCGUCUUGAAACACGGACCAAGGAGUGCAACAUGCGUGCGAGUCUUUGGGUGGCAAACCCGAUGGCGCAAUGAAGGUGAAGGUGGGCAUUUGGUCCGCUUAGGCAAGAGCCUCCCUCGCGGGGGCACACUGUCGACCGAUCCCAGGCUACGCUGUGGCGGGAUUUGAGUAAGAGCGUGCCUGUUGCGACCCGAAAGAUGGUGAACUAUGCCUGAAUAGGGUGAAGCCAGAGGAAACUCUGGUGGAAGCUCGUAGCGAUUCUGACGUGCAAAUCGAUCGUCAAAUUUGGGUAUAGGGGCGAAAGACUAAUCGAACCAUCUAGUAGCUGGUUCCCUCCGAAGUUUCCCUUAGGAUAGCUGGAGCCCGGUGCAGUUUUAUCAGGUAAAGCGAAUGAUUAGAGGUCUUGGGGUUGAAACAACCUCAACCUAUUCUCAAACUUUAAAUGGGUAAGAAGCUCGGCUUGCUUAAUUGAAGUCGGGCAUUGAAUGCCGGGGCUCUUAGUGGGCCAUUUUUGGUAAGCAGAACUGGCGAUGUGGGAUGAACCAAAUGCCGGGUUAAGGUGCCCGAAUCGACGCCCAUCAGAUACCAUGAAAGGUGUUGGUUGAUCUAGACAGCAGGACGGUGGCCAUGGAAGUCGGAAUCCGCUAAGGAGUGUGUAACAACUCACCUUGCCGAAUCAACUAGCCCUGAAAAUGGAUGGCGCUGAAGCGUCGUACCCAUACCUGGCCGUCAGGUUGAGCGGCAGGACCUGACGUGUAGGAGGGCGCGGUGGUGGCCGUGCAGCCUUUGGCGUGAGCCUGGGUGAAGCCGCCACCGGUGCAGAUCUUGGUGGUAGUAGCAAAUAUUCAAACGAGAGCUUUGAAGACUGAAGUGGAGAAGGGUUCCAUGUGAACAGCAGUUGGACAUGGGUUAGUCGAUCCUAAGAGAAGGGAGAGGUCCUUCUAGAAGGCGCAAUCGCUCCGGCGACCGCGCCGUUCCUCGAAAGGGAAUCGGGUUAACAUUCCCGAACCGGGAUGCGGAUAGGCCUCUGGCCAUUAGCGGCAACGCAAGCGAACUCGGAGACGUCGGCAGGAGCCCCGGGAAGAGUUCUCUUUUCUUCUUAACGGACUGGCACCCUGGAAUCAGAUUGCCUGGAGAUAGGGUUGAAUGUCCGGUAAAGCACCACACUUGUGGUGGUGUCCGGUGCGCUCUUGACGACCCGUGAAAAUCCGAGGGAGU
rnacentral:rRNA from 1 species